UGUAAAAUUUUGCAUGUAUUAUUUCUUUGCUUUGCGGCAAAAUAUGUAACCUGUUUCCCUGGCGGUUGGAACAACAUUCCAUUAUAUUCUCCAAGUAGUACCAUCUCUGUUUACGAAGCGGCGAAAUAUAUAGGAGGACAAUACCCUUCCCCAGUGCUCGCUAGAAAAUGGCUUGAGUUCCAGCCUAAUUUUGACAUCUAUAAAGUCAAAUUCACCUCUCACUUUAGAGAUGGAAUUCGACGGUUAUGUGAAACAGACGUUCUCUGGACGAUAAAACCCUCGAAGAAAACUACUUUUAAUAUCAGAUGCAACCCACCAUGGAGUUCAAGUCUUUUACCACAGGCUGUUGGCAUGUCUUAAAGACAAUCGAAGAAG